AUUAAAUGCAACAUUUAUUCUUCAAUUUAAUAUGACAGGGACUGUUUGACCGAGCGUUAGAACUGCUCGAUGUGAAGUUAGCCGAAGGAACGCUCGAAGGGCGUACUACAUAUAAUUAUAUUACCCGCGAAAUUUGAUACCCGGCAUAAUAAAGCGACGUUCAUGCUUUUACGUUCGUCUAAAGUGAAACACUUAUGAAUCGAACGCAUUGUAUCUAGGUAAUUCAUACACCAUGAGCGAUUGAUCAAGCGAAGCCCCGCAAAAAGUUAUUAUUUUAUCGAUUAAUUUAAUAUCGUAAAAUUUGUUAUUCAUCUUUUGACGGUAUGUCCAACUUGUUACACGCGCCAAACUGUCGUUUACAUGACGAUCAGACGCAGAAUUAUGAAAACGAUUGUUAUAUCGUAUCACAUACAUGGAGUGUAAAAUUUGAGUCAUGGCGCACAUAAUAUCUAUAAGUACGACACGCUCGAUCCACCGGUGGCCAACUUCAGACAAAGGCAUAAACGACGCCGAGUAUACCCGCGGUCGUAUGCGCAUUCUGUGAAGCGCUCGUGGAUCUCUCGUAGGCCGCACACACGAUUUUAUCCUAUAUUUAACGCGUGGCUCUCUCGAGUUCGGUGUGACGUCUCUCGUCUCGUCCGCGUGCGUCUCUCGAUCCCGCGGACUCUCGCUCUCGCUUCGCGUCGCUCGGUCCUGUUCGCGGCGGAGUUCGGACGGAACGCGACACGCGAGAGCGCGGUGUCCCGAGUUUAUAGGGAAAUAUGUCAGUGACGUGAACGUGCACGCGGUAGCAUCGAGCCCUUUGCGUUUUACGAGCAACAAGAAGAAUGUGCGCCAGGCAUCGACGCACGGAUUUAUGCGUUAUAGACAUUCGUUUGAUGACGAUGUACGAUUUCUACAUGAUGCAUGAUUUAUGUAACAAUAUGGUCACUGUGAGAAUUCUUGCAAGACACUUUGUAUCAUAAUGAUUACUUCUCACAGAUUAAUUCUAUAUCUAAACAAAGAUUUCUUAUCAUAUAGAAAUUGGGACAUAGAUAAAGGAUGAUUAAUAAUUUUAUAAAAUAGUAGUUAAUCGAGAAACGAUAAAAUAGUGAUUAAUAGGAAAGUAUCUGCACAACUUCUUUCAUUGGUGAUUGUAGUGGUUUCCCAUAGUGGAAACCGAAAAUUUUAUACUACGUUACGUGCUAAGCAUGUGCGAAUUAUAUGACAAGGGAUGAUAGGCUCAUACCUUUUUGCGACUCCAAAUAUUACUCUAAGGCUUCAUGAAUCUCACGACCAUCCAGCGGAAGCACCAUAGAGCACUGAAAAGACUACAUAACUA